rnacentral:ncRNA from 2 species
CGACGUCUUCAGGGCGGGGCGAAAUUCCCCACCGGCGGUAGGCCUUUCGAGGCGAGCCCGCGAGCGCUUCCGCCAUGCGGAAGGUCAGCAGAUCCGGUCCAAUGCCGGAGCCGACGGUUGGAUGCGGGCAACCACAUCCUCAAAGUCCGGAUAAAGAGAAGACGGCA